rnacentral:rRNA from 1 species
UCGGGGUGGAUUAGUGGCGAACGGGUGAGUAACACGUGGGCAAUCUGCCCUGCACUCUGGGACAAGCCCUGGAAACGGGGUCUAAUACCGGAUAUGACCGUCCAUCGCAUGGUGGAUGGUGUAAAGCUCCGGCGGUGCAGGAUGAGCCCGCGGCCUAUCAGCUAGUUGGUGAGGUAGUGGCUCACCAAGGCGACGACGGGUAGCCGGCCUGAGAGGGCGACCGGCCACACUGGGACUGAGACACGGCCCAGACUCCUACGGGAGGCAGCAGUGGGGAAUAUUGCACAAUGGGCGAAAGCCUGAUGCAGCGACGCCGCGUGAGGGAUGACGGCCUUCGGGUUGUAAACCUCUUUCAGCAGGGAAGAAGCGAAAGUGACGGUACCUGCAGAAGAAGCGCCGGCUAACUACGUGCCAGCAGCCGCGGUAAUACGUAGGGCGCAAGCGUUGUCCGGAAUUAUUGGGCGUAAAGAGCUCGUAGGCGGCUUGUCACGUCGGUUGUGAAAGCCCGGGGCUUAACCCCGGGUCUGCAGUCGAUACGGGCAGGGCUAGAGUUCGGUAGGGGAGAUCGGAAUUCCUGGUGUAGCGGUGAAAUGCGCAGAUAUCAGGAGGAACACCGGUGGCGAAGGCGGAUCUCUGGGCCGAUACUGACGCUGAGGAGCGAAAGCGUGGGGAGCGAACAGGAUUAGAUACCCUGGUAGUCCACGCCG